UUUCCGUAUGUGAACCUGCGGAAGGAUCAUUG
rnacentral:rRNA from 1 species